GUUCGCUCCGAGGGCCGGCCGCUAACUGGCGAGGCGCGCGCGCAAGCCUGUCCGCCGUCCAGCGACCGGAAGGAAGCUGCUCGAGAACUUCGCGAGUAAAAGUCUUCGGGCCCUGGUCCCCAGGCCUGCUCGCGGCCCGCGGUCUUUAUAAUAAUAUUAUCGUUUACUUUAUACAACCCACUCACUGAUCUGACCCACCAGAUAUUCCGCGACUACAGGUCAAUAUUUCUCUAAUUAUAAUUUGAAUUAUUUUAUUUAUUUCUAUUUUUUGUUUUAUAAGCUUUUAAAUGUUUUUAAUAAAAGAUAAAAUUCGUUAUAAUAAACUAUUAUUUUAUUAUUGUUUAUUUAAUAUAUUUUAUAUAUAGAUAUAUCUAAUAUUUACUAUUAGAAGAUAAAUAAAAAGUAUAUAAAGAAAACGUAGUCAAUACAAAGAAAUAGAUAAGCGUUAUCAGUGACGCUAUCAUCACGACUUAUGAUUACAGAUACGAGAUGCAGCACGGAGACUGAUAACGUUUACGUAACGUGAUAUCGAUCUAACCGUCUAACUCAACCGUUAUCACCGGCAGACGAGAUGAAAAUUUAGUGCAUCCGAGAACAUUGGUUUUAUUUACAUGAAAACUAAUGAAUAAAGCUCACUUUUUUAAAUA